rnacentral:rRNA from 1 species
GAUGAACGCUGGCGGCGUGCCUAAUACAUGCAAGUCGAACGGGAGACCUCAUUUCGAUGGGGUUGAGAGUGGCGCACGGGUGAGGAACACAUGGCUGACCUGCCCUUCAGAGGGGGAUAACGGCUGGAAACGGCUGCUAAUACCCCAUACGCUCCUUGGGAUUAGAGGCCUGAGGAGGAAAGCCUUCGGGUGCUGAAGGAGGGGGCUGUGGCCCAUCAGCUUGUUGGUAGGGUAACGGCCUACCAAGGCGACGACGGGUAGGGGGCCUGAGAGGGUGACCCCCCACACUGGGACUGAGACACGGCCCAGACUCCUACGGGAGGCAGCAGUGGGGAAUAUUGCACAAUGGGCGAAAGCCUGAUGCAGCGACGCCGCGUGAAGGAUGAAGGUCUUCGGGUCGUAAAGCUCUGUCCUAAGGGAAGAAACGGACGGUACCUUAGGAGGAAGCCCCGGCUAACUACGUG